CUCCCUUACAGGCCAAGCCUGCUGACGAGCUCGUGGAACCCGAGCGAAAAGGCGU
rnacentral:hammerhead_ribozyme from 1 species